GAUGUUAGCGGCGGACGGGUGAGUAACACGUGGAUAACCUACCUAUAAGACUGGGAUAACUUCGGGAAACCGGAGCUAAUACCGGAUAAUAUUUUGAACCGCAUGGUUCAAAAGUGAAAGACGGUCUUGCUGUCACUUAUAGAUGGAUCCGCGCUGCAUUAGCUAGUUGGUAAGGUAACGGCUUACCAAGGCAACGAUGCAUAGCCGACCUGAGAGGGUGAUCGGCCACACUGGAACUGAGACACGGUCCAGACUCCUACGGGAGGCAGCAGUAGGGAAUCUUCCGCAAUGGGCGAAAGCCUGACGGAGCAACGCCGCGUGAGUGAUGAAGGUCUUCGGAUCGUAAAACUCUGUUAUUAGGGAAGAACAUAUGUGUAAGUAACUGUGCACAUCUUGACGGUACCUAAUCAGAAAGCCACGGCUAACUACGUGCCAGCAGCCGCGGUAAUACGUAGGUGGCAAGCGUUAUCCGGAAUUAUUGGGCGUAAAGCGCGCGUAGGCGGUUUUUUAAGUCUGAUGUGAAAGCCCACGGCUCAACCGUGGAGGGUCAUUGGAAACUGGAAAACUUGAGUGCAGAAGAGGAAAGUGGAAUUCCAUGUGUAGCGGUGAAAUGCGCAGAGAUAUGGAGGAACACCAGUGGCGAAGGCGACUUUCUGGUCUGUAACUGACGCUGAUGUGCGAAAGCGUGGGGAUCAAACAGGAUUAGAUACCCUGGUAGUCCACGCCGUAAACGAUGAGUGCUAAGUGUUAGGGGGUUUCCGCCCCUUAGUGCUGCAGCUAACGCAUUAAGCACUCCGCCUGGGGAGUACGACCGCAAGGUUGAAACUCAAAGGAAUUGACGGGGACCCGCACAAGCGGUGGAGCAUGUGGUUUAAUUCGAAGCAACGCGAAGAACCUUACCAAAUCUUGACAUCCUUUGACAACUCUAGAGAUAGAGCCUUCCCCUUCGGGGGACAAAGUGACAGGUGGUGCAUGGUUGUCGUCAGCUCGUGUCGUGAGAUGUUGGGUUAAGUCCCGCAACGAGCGCAACCCUUAAGCUUAGUUGCCAUCAUUAAGUUGGGCACUCU
rnacentral:rRNA from 1 species